rnacentral:rRNA from 1 species
UGGGGAAUUUUGGACAAUGGGGGAAACCCUGAUCCAGCCAUCCCGCGUGUGCGAUGAAGGCCUUCGGGUUGUAAAGCACUUUUGGCAGGAAAGAAACGUCAUGGGUUAAUACCCCGUGAAACUGACGGUACCUGCAGAAUAAGCACCGGCUAACUACGUGCCAGCAGCCGCGGUAAUACGUAGGGUGCAAGCGUUAAUCGGAAUUACUGGGCGUAAAGCGUGCGCAGGCGGUUCGGAAAGAAAGAUGUGAAAUCCCAGAGCUCAACUUUGGAACUGCAUUUUUAACUACCGGGCUAGAGUGUGUCAGAGGGAGGUGGAAUUCCGCGUGUAGCAGUGGAAUGCGUAGAUAUGCGGAGGAACACCGAUGGCGAAGGCAGCCUCCUGGGAUAACACUGACGCUCAUGCACGAAAGCGUGGGGAGCAAACAGG